GCUCAUCUCAGGGCAGUCGCCGCCACCCUGCGUGGCAGAAUCGGACGUUUUCACACAGCGAUAAACUCACCAUCAAAUAUUACACCUCUUGCAGAUCCUGCUGGAACUUCCGUGGGUCAGUGGUGAUUGACACGGGGCCAAUAUCUGCGAAGUUUAUGAAGGAGCAGACUCCAGUGUGACGGAUAAGAGCCGGUCACAGACGGUCGGAGGCCUUCUGGGGCUUUUAAGCGAAACACAGACGUCGCCGUGUCCAUCAACUCCCAGCUUUUCAUCACGGUUGCCCCGGAGCAGACCAU